AGGGGGAUGGGUGGUGGCAGCGCUGGAGUCCUGCCACCGCCCCUCCACUAGCCACUCCUACCCCUGCCAGCCCCUUGGGAAGAACACUCUGUGUGUCCCGGUCCCCUCAUGCUGGUCCAUCGGGACCUUGUGAGGGUCAGCAGGGGAGGUAACACUACACCUCCCGCUCCAGAGGACCUGCCAGAUGUUGCAACUUGCCAAGGCGUUUCCCUUCUCUUUCUUCAGCCUACUGCCCCCCACCGUAGUCAGACUGGAGGGCUGCAGCAAAGAGGCACUGCAUGAAUGCUUCUGAUACAAAACCACUCCCUGUUUACAUAAGAUCAAACACUUCUUACAUGAGUUCCUCAAAAAACAACUCAAUUAACUUCACUGGUGCAAUUACCUGAGGUGUGACAGGAAGAGUAUUCCCUGAGGCUCGCUUCAGCCCCAGGGAGUUUUAGGUAAUGCUUAGCUGCCUAGAGAAAGGGGAAAACACAACUGCAGCCUUUCAAUGAGGUUCGAAGGAGCCACAGACCACCUGUGAAUCACACAGAAUCUCAGGACCCUCCACUACCUAGACAGUCUCCCCCCUGUACUCCUGGUUAAUAGGUCUUCCAUCUCUCUGAUCCACCCUAACCCCAGACUUUCCAUGUUUCCACAUUUCAUGGGAUUUGUGAAAACACAGAGUCAUCAAUAUCUCUCAGAAUCUUGUUUGCUAAAAAUAUAUAUCAUAAAAUUCUAGGUCCCUCAAUACUUGAAGAAUGAAAUCUGGUUUUUUGCUUGCACAAUAAUUCACUUUUAAUGUGUUGGGUUUUCCAACGGAAGCCUGAAACCUUCGCAUGUGAAGGUACCUUCACAAUGAUGCAAUGGAAGCCAAACAGAACAUAUGCCCUUGAGAGGGUGACCUCGGCCAGCUCAAACAAGGAUCGCAGAACCAGACCCUUGACUAUAAAAAGCAGCACCUUUUUAAAAAAGUAUUUAUCUUGCCAAUAUAAUUUUUUAUUGUGAUAAAAAACACAUAACAUGGAAUCCACCCUAUUCACAACAGUUUAAGUAUGCAGUACCGUAUUUGUUCGCUACACACGCACUGCUGUACAGCAGAUCCCUAGAACUUUCCCAUCUUGCAUGACUGAAACUCUAUACCCGCUGCCCAGCAACUCCCAUUUCCCCUCCCCUAGUCCCUGGCAACCAACAUUCUACUUUUAAAAGCACACCUUUAACUAAACCGAGUCCUGGGUCAGAAAACUCUUAACUUAGAGGUGAUGUUAUAGGGAAGAUCAUUACAGCACGGGAACCACACACGUUAAGAUGCUGAACGCGGCCAGACCUGAAAAGAAGCGAGCCUUCUGUAACACAUCAGUGCUGCUCUAAGCUGGGUUGCUUUCUUUUCAGAGACAACUGUUCAAAACAUGACGAGCUAAAACAGAGCCAACGACUAUCCCAAGGGUUUCAGCAGAAUGAGGUGAAGUCAGAAUAUGGAUCCAAACAGCUGGGCCACUCAUUAAAGCAAAGAGACACUUGAAUUUGCUGCAAAGAUUUCCAGGCUUACCGUUUUGGACUAACUUCAGCACAACGUGAAAUAGUGACGAGAAUAAAUUCAAGUUUAGCAAAAGCUUAAUAGAAAAAGCAAUUGUCCCCAUUUAUGUGUUGAUAAUAGAAUAUUUCUGCCCAAAACUGCUGCCCAUCAAACUGAUUACUGUCAGAUAGCCUCCUCUCUGCUCAGAUAGCACCUCACUUCUAGCUGGAUACUAAAAGCACAAGAGUAUCAGCAAGAAUAAAAUCAGAGUGUAAGAAUAUAACACAAAAGCUUAAAGGCCACCACACCGGAAAAGAAUCAUAUUAAAUUGGAAAGAAAAUAACAACCUUUGCUAGCUACAGAAAAAAUUAAUUUAACUAAGGGUAUCCCACUAGCAUUUAUUCUGAAACAUAAAUAAGCUUUAGUAUUUUACCACCCUGAAUGAUGUAGCAAACCCAAGCUUUUGUUAAACCUAAUAGCUAGGUGGAUUACCCAAUCAAGUCAUUAACUCAGGAUGGCUGGAGGAAUAAAAUCAUUAGGUUAGCACAUGGUAGAUUCAAUGACCUGUAAUCAGCUACUAAGUAAAAUUACGGAAGCAGAAAACAGCUGCAUUUUUGCUACUUUCUUAAAAGAGACAGCUUGUAACAACUUUCACUUCUUGAGCCAUAUUUACUCUAAUUAAUUUAGAAUGCCUGCAGCUCUGACUACCGUUCCCUGGGGUAUAAAAAUGAAGCACUUCUCUAUAUCUAUAAACAGUAUUUUCCCAACUUUGCUUUUUAAGGGAGGAUUAGGUCAUAAAUAGUUCGUCAUUUUUGUAUCUAGAAGCUUGAAUAAAUGGUUAAUUGCUGAUAUAAAUUGCAA